ACCUAUGAACAAAUCACCGUGAUGAAUGUGCCUGAUCUCGUUAGAUCUCAGCAACUAAGCAGAGUUUCGGCUAUUCAGUCUGGUAUGGGAGACUGCAUGGGAAUAGUAGGCGUUGUAGGCU
rnacentral:rRNA from 1 species